UCAGAAAGUUUUAUAAGAAGUAGUUUUAUAAAUAAUUUUCAAAAACAUCCAAAAGAUGCGUAAAAUAAUGAAAAAAAAAUUAAACACGAAAAAGCGCUCGUAAAAUUACAACUAGAUAAAACAUACUGAAUUGGCCAAAAGAGAUGAUUAUUACGUAAAAAAGUACGUAGAAUUUAAUGGUAUCAAGGGUUUUUUUAGUGCGUUUUCGAAUAAAGACUCGACGGUGUUAAAAGUAUAUAAAAUAAUGCAAAAAAUCCAAACACGAAAAAGCGCUCGUGAAAUUACAACUAGAUAAAACAUACUCAAUUAGCCAAAAGAGAUGAUUAUUACGUAAAAAGGUACGUAGAAUUUAAUGUUGUCAAGAGUUUUUUAGUGGGUUUUCGAAUAAAGACUCGAAGAUGUUAAAACUGUAUAAUAUAAUGCAAAAAUCAAAACACGAAAAAGCGCUCGUUAAAUUACAACGAGAUAAAACAUACUCAAUUAGCCGAAAGAGAUGAUUAUUACGUAAAAAGGUACGUAGAAUUUAAUGUUGUCAAGAGUUUUUUAGUGUAUUUUCGAAUAAUGACUCGAAGGUGUUAAAACUGUAUAAUAUAAUGCAAAAAUCAAAACACGAAAAAGCGCUCGUGAAAUUAAUCAUUCGGCUUGGUUGAUCAGAAAAAUUCGUAAUCCGUUCGUAACAGUCUAUAUCCUAAGCGCGAAUAUUAAUAUUGUUAUGUCGAAGAUGUUUAUAACGACGUGUACACUUAUUAUUACUAUUUACUUAAACGGUUACAAAACCUUACAACGAUUUUAAUAACAUUGUUUAACGGUAUUAGAUAAUUCCAGAACUUUAUAUAUUUAUUUAUUCGGGUGUUUGUUAGAACUAGUAAUUUUGCUAGAAAAAUCCUACUUUUGCGUUUUGAUGGAAUCAAAAGACGUCAUUGAAAAUCGUUUAAUGGAAUAUGUUUUGAAAAUCAACAGCCUUAAAGGAGCUCCUUAUCAAACUUUAGUCCUGGGUAUCAUUUGUCGCAAAACCUGCAGCACCAUGGGCUCACCAAC
rnacentral:misc_RNA from 1 species